AUUGAACGCUGGCGGCAGGCUUAACACAUGCAAGUCGAGCGAGCGGCGGACGGGUGAGUAAUGUCUGGGAAACUGACUGAUGGAGGGGGAUAACUACUGGAAAAGGUAGCUAAUACCGCAUACCAUCAGAUGUGCCCAGAUGGGAUUAGCUAGUAGGUGGGGUAAUGGCUCACCGAGGGGACGAUCCCUAGAUGGUAUGAGAGGAGGACCGUCAACCCGGGACCGGAGACACGGUCCAGACUCCUACGGGAGGCAGCAGUGGGGAAUAUGGCACAAUGGGCGCAAGCCUGAUGCAGCCAUGCCGGGUUUGUGAAGAGGGCCUUCGGGUUGUAAAGCACUUUCAGCGAGGAGGCGUUCUCGCAGAAGAAGCACCGGCUAACUCCGUGCCAGCAGCCGCGGUAAUUC
rnacentral:rRNA from 1 species